GUGGAUAUAGCUCAGUUGGUUAGAGUAGCGGAUUGUGGUUCCGUUGGUCGUGGGUUCGAAUCCCAUUUUCCACCCCA
rnacentral:tRNA from 1 species